rnacentral:rRNA from 1 species
AUUGAACGCUGGCGGCAGGCCUAACACAUGCAAGUCGAGCGGAGCGGCGGACGGGUGAGUAAUGCCUAGGAAUCUGCCUGGUAGUGGGGGAUAACGUCCGGAAACGGGCGCUAAUACCGCAUACUAUCAGAUGAGCCUAGGCCGGAUUAGCUAGUAGGUGGGGUAAAGGCCUACCAAGGCGACGAUCCGUAACUGGUAUGAGAGGAUGAUCAGUCGCACUGGAACUGAGAGACGGUACAGACUCCUACGGGAGGCAGCAGUGGGGAAUAGUGGACAAUGGGCGAAGGCCUGAUCCAGACAUGCCGCGUGUGUGAAGAAGGUCUUCGGAUUGUAAGACGCUUUAAGUUGGGAGGCGUUACCAACAGAAUAAGCACCGGCUAACUUCGUGCCAGCAGCCGCGGUAAUAC